AUGAAUAUUUGAAUGGCCGCAGUACCCUGACUGUGCUAAGGUAGCGUAAUCAGUUGGCUUUUAAAUGAAGUCGAGAAUGAAUGGGUCCACGGGGGCAAGCUGUCUCUUUUUGUUUUAAUGAACUUAUUUAGAAGGUGAAAAUCCCUUCAGUAAGAAAAAAGACGAGAAGACCCUUAGAGUUUUUAGAAUAACUACUGUUUGUGGCUUUUUUUUGCUGGGGCGGCAAGGAGACAAAUUAACUCUCCUUUAUAAUUUUGAAGACGUAAAUUAUAAGAGGCAUUAAACUACCUUAGGGAUAACAGCAUAAUUAAUUAUUAGUUUGUGACCUCGAUGUUGGACUAGGGAUAGUUUUGGUUAGCAGCCAAAAGGGUUGUUCUGUUCGAACGUU
rnacentral:rRNA from 1 species